rnacentral:lncRNA from 1 species
GGAUUGGGAUAUUCCGACUCCUUAAGGGCCUGGCGCACAUAAGGUGUGACCUUUUCAUUCCCGUUGUUAUGGAGGGCCACAUCUGCCAGAGCCUGGAGUCUGCGAAGGCCGGGACCCGGUUCCCCGGCCCACAGUGGGGGUGUGCAAACCCGAGAGAACUGGGUUGCAAAUUCGUGAAGAAUCAGCAUCAUGUUUGGCAGCUGAGUAUUGGAGCCAGGAGCCUGCCAUGAGGUUAUAUUCCCAGAGGAUGUCAGUCCCAAGGACCAGUAGCUGCCAUCAGUUUGGAUUCUGAAAACUAACUGGCAUCAACACUGGGUGUAGAAACAUGCUUGCCUUAUGUAUCAGAGGACAUGCUCAGCAGAUCCAAGAGAUAUAUUUGGCAACUUUUUCUAGAAAAGGCACAUUGGGUAUCAUUCAUUACAUUCUUGAGUUUUUUUGGGUUUUUUUUUUUUUUUUUGAGACAGUCUUGCUGUAUUGCCCAGGCUGGAGUGUGGUGGCACAAUCACAGCUCAUUGCAUCCUCAAUCACCCAGGCCUAAGCAAUCCUCCCACCUUGUAGCUGGGACUACAGCUCACAGCACACCUGGCUAAAAUUUUUUUUUUGUUGAGACGGAUUCUCUAUGUUGCCCAGGCUGGUCUCAGGCUCCUGGGCUCAGAUGGUCCUCCUGCCUCAGCUUCCAAAGGCACAGGCCAAGUUGUAGCUUUGUCCCUUGCCAUCAUGCCCAACAAGAGGUUCUAUACCUUUUAAUGAAUUGACUUUCAUAAAUUGGUUAUGUUGGUGGGCAAAGUUCUUUAAGCUGGAAAUUGUAAAUUCCUCCUGAAAUGUUUUUUCAUGCAGUUACCAUGAACUAAUACUACAAUAAAGGAUGGUCUUGGGUGUCAAUUCUUGAA